GUUGAAACAAGAAGAAGAAGCUAUUUCCAAGACUGCUACAUUCAACAGCAUUCUCUUCAGAGUCAAACUGUCAUCUUCUAGGAUUGACCUUGAGGUCCCUUUGAGACAUAUUCAAGGUCAGUCACUUGAUAACAGCCAUUACAAGCUAUGAUAACAUUCAAGAACAGUUUGAUAAGGUGAAGGGAAUAAUAAAAAGUUCAGCUGGUUAAGGCCUUUUAUAAACUUGGAUUCUGAUUUCCUUAAUAUAGUGAUAUUCUGCCACAAUUACUACCAUCGAUGAUCACUGAGGUAAAAAGGUAAAAAC